rnacentral:rRNA from 1 species
GACGAACGCUGGCGGCGUGCUUAACACAUGCAAGUCGAACGGAAAGACCCUGCUUUUGUGGGGUGCUCGAGUGGCGAACGGGUGAGUAACACGUGAGUAACCUGCCCUUGACUUUGGGAUAACUUCAGGAAACUGGGGCUAAUACCGGAUAGGAGCUCCUGCUGCAUGGUGGGGGUUGGAAAGUUUCGGCGGUUGGGGAUGGACUCGCGGCUUAUCAGCUUGUUGGUGGGGUAGUGGCUUACCAAGGCUUUGACGGGUAGCCGGCCUGAGAGGGUGACCGGCCACAUUGGGACUGAGAUACCGCCCCGACUCCUACGGGAGGCAGCAGUGGGGAAUAUUGCCCCAUGGGCGGAAGCCUGAUGCAGCAACGCCGCGUGCGGGAUGACGGCCUUCGGGUUGUAAACCGCUUUCGCCUGUGACGAAGCGUGAGUGACGGUAAUGGGUAAAGAAGCACCGGCUAACUACGUG